GGAUGCAAAAGUCGUAACACGGUUUCCGUAGGUGAACCUGCGGAAGGAUCAUUCACACAUUGCGUCUCAAAGCUGCUUCAUCAGACAGUGACUCAAUUUUUGGGGCUUGGAUGAUGUUUGCUGCUGCGAGGGAACGCUUAAUUGAACCUUAUCAGCUACCAAUCUUUGAAUCUGUUUUGUUUUCCCACCACGACGCAUUUUUGUGAAGAAAAGAAGAGGAAAAAACCUGACUGUGCAAGCAUCAUUGCCACCUUUUGAAGGGAUGGGAUGAUGAUGCAUGCAUGGGAGGGGGAGGGGCGGCGCAUGCACCGCUUGGGGCUUUUUGGGGCUUUGGGGCUGUGGUUGUGGGGCUUGCAUGCUACAUGUGACCCUGGCACUGCUGUCUAUGAUGAGCACCCAUAGCGCCAGCGUGUGUUAUUGCGUUCGUUGCCUUGUAUUUUAUAUUUAAAAAAAAACAAAACUUUCAGCAAUGGAUGUCUUGGCUCACGCAUCGAUGAAGGACGCAGCGAAAUGCGAUACGCAUUGUGAAUUGCAGAUUUCAGUGAACCAUCAGAUUUCUGAACGCACAUGGCGCUGCUGGUAUUUUGCCCGCAGCACGUCUGUUUCAGUGUCUCUUAACAACCUCUACUAGUAUACCAUGCUUCGCUCUCUGUUCCUCAUGUUCCUGGUAGUGUGAAGGUUCGGUGGUUUUACGCACAGAAGCAAGCUCUUGCAAGUUUCUGUUGUGAGUCACGGAACUCUCUACUCGGAGAAGGGGAGGAGGUAGACAGUUUGGUGUCAUUUGAGUGUCGUUGCAUUUGUAUUGGAGCAAGUGUGGCGUCUCUCUAAAUUGUUGUCGGCAGGGGUGCUGUGUCUGUAAUGUGCGCAGCACUAGGACAUGCCUGUGCUUUCUCUGUGGUCGUCGUAUAUGCUCCUUUCAUUCUGAAAGAGAGUGAGAUACGGUGGUUGUGUAUCACAAUACGCACAGCACAUGUUUGUCUCACUGUGGACGAAUGUUUAAAAGGGCUAUAUGGCAAAGGCUAGAGGACGAGGUGCAUGGGUAUAUGCAAUGCCGCGAGAUGACACACAAAUACAACGCACUAGUGUGUGUUGUGUGGAUGUGUGUUGUUUCAGUAUAUGUAUGUAUAGACCUGAAAUCAGUCGAGGUUACCCGCUGAAUUUAAGCAUAUUAUUAAGCGGAGGA
rnacentral:sRNA from 1 species